rnacentral:rRNA from 1 species
CCUACGGGUGGCAGCAGUGAGGAAUAUUGGUCAAUGGCCGGAAGGCUGAACCAGCCAAGCCGCGUGAAGGACGAAGGUGCCAAGCAUUGUAAACUUCUUUUGUCAAGGAACAAAAUCAUGCUCGAGAGCCUGACCGAGGGUACUUGAAGAAAAAGCCUUGUCUAACUCCGGUCCAGCAGCCGCGGUAAUAAGGAGGAUGCGAGCGUUAGUCGGAUUUAUUGGGUUUAAAGGGUGCGUAGGCGGGAUGUUAAGUCAGCGGUAAAAGCUCGGGGCUCAAACCCGGCGAGCCGUUGAAACUGGCUGUCUUGAGAUGUCGAGAGGUAUGCGGAAUGCGCAGUGUAGCGGUGAAAUGCUUAGAUAUUGCGCAGAACUCCGAUUGCGAAGGCAGCAUACCGGCGGCGAUCUGACGCUGAGGCACGAAAGCGUGGGUAUCGAACAGGAUUAGAUACCCUUGUAGUC